AUUAUAUAUUGUUUUGGUGGUAAUAUUUUGGUGGAGGUAUUUUUCACUGUUAUAGAUAUUAUUUAUUUGUUCUGCUAUACUACAGGACCAUUUAUACACUUAUUAUGUUAUAUUGGAAGUAAUUCUUAUGUUUAUGAUAUUUUCCCUUUAAGAGAGCUGGUCAGUGUAUUGACAAUUUGCAUACAUUCCUUUAAUUUGGGGGAUGCGCAUGCGCGAGCGGCGCGGCGCUCUUUUGAUGCGACUUUCUAUUAGAUGUGGAUCUCGGAGGCUUCCGUAGGAAGGGAACCCCGGUAUGAUUGGCCGAGCAAAAUAAGGUGAAAUGCGCG